UACGUUCCCGGGCCUUGUACACACCGCCCGUCACACCAUGGAAGCCGGUAACACCCGAAGCCGGUGGCCUAACCCGCAAGGGAGGGGGCCGUCGAAGGUGGGAUUGGUGACUGGGGUG
rnacentral:rRNA from 1 species